rnacentral:tRNA from 1 species
GGAAAGAAUUUUAAAGUUUUGAAAACUUUAUUUGGCUACGAGGUCUCUUUCUU